CCACACCAGUCAUCAGUUCAUCACUUCACACAGCACCACACUAGUGAGCACCCUAAAUCCUAAUCAACUUCACUUCAUCUCCCAUUGCCACAAAAAAAAGCAGAAUUCUUCAUUGUUAGCUCAUCUUCAGCCGUCACUGAACGAACGACACCCUCAGCCCAACAAAAGAUGCCGGGGCCGGGCCCCCAUAUGAUGUACGCCCUAGGGUCGGGCCUGGGCUUGAUGGUUGCAUCAAAUGGGCGGUUCAGCCCUCAUCACUGCGUUUGUUUUGCUCUAAACGCCUUCUUCGGGCCAGACAUCGGGUCCUUCUCGGAGUGGCUAACCUCCACCGUUGGUUUCGGAGACUAUGUGGGUUCUGCUGUAGCUGAUCUCGUCCACCAUCCUUUUUACUACGUCGUUUUCUUAGGUUUCCCACUCUCUCUCCUCUACUCAUGGGCUUCCAGAAUUUUACUUCAAAAGGGUCUCUUGGAUUCUAUCUCUGGGGUGCCUCUCUCUAGGAUGCAAUGCUUUUUGCUGAUUUCAGCCGGUUCUUUAUCACAUUUCUUUCUGGAUCACUUAUUUGAGUUGUGCAGGAAAAUGGUAAAUCUUCUGUAUACACCUGGAUAUUGAGCACUGGUUGGUGGACUGGCCGUGCCCCUAUAAACCCAGACGCCGUUGUUGUCGUUGGCCUUUUGUGCAUUGGAUUAAUUGUUGGUUUUAUAUACAUCCACCGAAUUAGGCCUUCGAAAUCCGUUCAAGCUCAGUAUAACCAAUCUAUAAAAUUGAUACUGGUCAUAGCAGCUAUGUAUUGCUUAUGGUGUGCAAGCCAAAUAUAUUUGAUACAACCUCGUCGACCAGCUGUUGGUGAGGAGGCUGAUCUUGGUGUUCUUGUGUUCUUAUUCAUAUAUUUCUUCCUCCCACAUUCUUUGUGCAUUGUGUCCAUGAACCCCAAAGAUUAUCACGAUGCAGAGGUGCGGCUUCCCUUAUAAGUGCAAUUCUUUUCACUUUAGUAGUCUUAUGAAAAAUUUAACAGCUUACAGAGGAAAAACUCUGCUCUGGAGUGGCUUGUUAUCUGAAGCAACUAUCAACUUGGAGAGUGGAUAUUUUCAUGUUCACACUCUACACUCAUUGUCUAUAUACUAAAGCCCUAGCCCCUAAGCAGGGAUUUUCUCGCAAACUAGCAACAAAAAUGGUGGUUUAUGGACUUGAUGCACCGUUAUUCAGUCUUGUUUUAGUCUACAAGGUAAAACUUGCUUUUCUUGCUUACAUUUUCAACGCAACUUCGACAUCGUGAAACCACAGUGGUGAUUGUAUUUGUAAAAUUAAUCCACAGUGGUGAUUGUAUUUGUAAAAUUAAUUAUCCUUGGUUUUUCUAUAUAUAUCUGCUCUGACAUAGUACUA